rnacentral:rRNA from 1 species
GUUAAAAAGCUCGUAGUUGGAUUCCUGUAUGGAAGGGGCGUCCCCACCCUUUGGAUGGGGGUUGCUACCUUCUUUGCAUCUUCUUGAGUAGAUGUUCCUCACUUAACUGUGAGGACAUCGUGCUCGGGACAUUUACUUUGAGGAAAAGAGAGUGCUCCAAGCAGGCAAACGCCUGAAUACGUUAGCAUGGAAUAAUAGCAUCGGAUCAUCGUACAGCUGUUGGUGUCUGGACGAGGAUAAAGGUGAACAGGGAUUGUUGGGGGCAUUCGUAUUUAACUGUCAGAGGUGAAAUUCUUGGAUUUGUUGAAGACGAGCUACUGCGAAAGCAUUUGCCAAAGAUGUUCUCAUUGAUCGAGAACGAAAGUUAGGUGAUCGAAGACGAUCAGAUACCGUCCUAGUCUUAACCAUAAACUAUGCCAACUGGAGAUGGGACGUGUUUAUUUUACGACUCUUCCUGCAUCUUGAGAGAAAUCAAAGUCUUUGGGUUCCGGGGGGAGUAUGGUCGCAAGGCUGAAACUUAAAGGAAUUGACGGAAGGGCACCACCAGGAGUGGAGCCCUGCGACUUAAUUUGACUCAACACGGGGAAAACUUACCAGGUCCGGACAUAGGUAGGAUUGACAGACUGAGAGCUCUUUCUAGAUUCUAUGGGUGGUGGUGCAUGGCCGUUCUUAGUUGGUGGAGUGAUUUGUCUGGUUAAUUCCCGUUAACG